rnacentral:rRNA from 1 species
GAAGGCGCUCUGCUGGGCCAUCACUGACGCUCAUGGACGAAAGCCAGGGGAGCGAAAGGGAUUAGAUACCCCUGUAGUCCUGGCCGUAAACGAUGAACACUAGGUGUCGGGGGAAUCGACCCCCUCGGUGUCGUAGCCAACGCGUUAAGUGUUCCGCCUGGGGAGUACGCACGCAAGUGUGAAACUCAAAGGAAUUGACGGGGGCCCGCACAAGCGGUGGAGUAUGUGGUUUAAUUCGAUGCAACGCGAAGAACCUUACCAGGGUUUGACAUCCUGCGAAUCUCUUGGAAACAGGAGAGUGCCUUCGGGAACGCAGUGACAGGUGGUGCAUGGCUGUCGUCAGCUCGUGUCGUGAGAUGUUGGGUUAAGUCCCGCAACGAGCGCAACCCACGUCUUUAGUUGCCAGCAUUUAGUUGGGCACUCUAGAGAGACUGCCGGUGAUAAACCGGAGGAAGGUGUGGAUGACGUCAAGUCAUCAUGCCCCUUACAUCCUGGGCUACACACGUACUACAAUGCUACGGACAAAGGGCUGCAAGUUCGCGAGGACAAGCAAAUCCCAUAAACCGUGGCUCAGUUCAGAUCGUAGGCUGCAACUCGCCUACGUGAAGGCGGAAUCGCUAGUAAUCGCAGGUCAGCAUACUGCGGUGAAUACGUUCCCGGGCCUUGUACACACCGCCCGUCACACCAUGGAAGUUGGCCACGCCCGAAGCCGUUACUCCAACCCUUGUGGAGGAGGACGUCGAAGGUGGGGCUGAUGAGUGGGGUGAAGUCGUAACAAGGUAACCGUA